rnacentral:rRNA from 1 species
ACGGGGGGAGCGAGCGUUGUUCGGAUUUACUGGGCGUAAAGGGCGCGUAGGUGGGUCAUCAAGUCAAAUGUGAAAACCAGCGGCUCAACCGUUGGCCUGCAUUUGAUACUGUUGAUCUUGAGUACGGGAGAGGAAAGCGGAAUUCCUGGUGUAGCGGUGAAAUGCGUAGAUAUCAGGAGGAACACCGGUGGCGAAGGCGGCUUUCUGGCCCGAUACUGACACUGAGGCGCGAAGGCCGGGGGAGCAAACAG